GCUGAAGACUUUAGCUUGCUAGAGUUGGAAGAGUUGCGAACGGGUGAGUAACGCGUAGGUAACCUGCCUAUUAGUGGGGGAUAACUAUUGGAAACGAUAGCUAAUACCGCAUAAUAGUGUUUAACACAUGUUAGAGACUUAAAAGAUGCAAUUGCAUCACUAGUAGAUGGACCUGCGUUGUAUUAGCUAGUUGGUGGGGUAACGGCCUACCAAGGCGACGAUACAUAGCCGACCUGAGAGGGUGAUCGGCCACACUGGGACUGAGACACGGCCCAGACUCCUACGGGAGGCAGCAGUAGGGAAUCUUCGGCAAUGGGGGCAACCCUGACCGAGCAACGCCGCGUGAGUGAAGAAGGUUUUCGGAUCGUAAAGCUCUGUUGUAAGAGAAGAACGUGUGUGAGAGUGGAAAGUUCACACAGUGACGGUAACUUACCAGAAAGGGACGGCUAACUACGUGCCAGCAGCCGCGGUAAUACGUAGGUCCCGAGCGUUGUCCGGAUUUAUUGGGCGUAAAGCGAGCGCAGGCGGUUUAAUAAGUCUGAAGUUAAAGGCAGUGGCUUAACCAUUGUUCGCUUUGGAAACUGUUAAACUUGAGUGCAGAAGGGGAGAGUGGAAUUCCAUGUGUAGCGGUGAAAUGCGUAGAUAUAUGGAGGAACACCGGUGGCGAAAGCGGCUCUCUGGUCUGUAACUGACGCUGAGGCUCGAAAGCGUGGGGAGCAAACAGGAUUAGAUACCCUGGUAGUCCACGCCGUAAACGAUGAGUGCUAGGUGUUAGGCCCUUUCCGGGGCUUAGUGCCGCAGCUAACGCAUUAAGCACUCCGCCUGGGGAGUACGA
rnacentral:rRNA from 1 species